rnacentral:lncRNA from 1 species
ACCACAUUUGAACUUGAAGAUAUUUGGAGAGACGAGCCAGAUAUUGGGACGUGUGGUGCGUGUCCUUCAGAUGAUCGAUUUAAAGAGGAUUUGGACCAAGUUGAAACUAUGAAAAACCAGUAACUUCCUUCGCGUUCCUUCGCGGUGCAAAGAAUGUCCGUGUUUGGGCUUCUUCCCUGGCUUCUGUCUCGUUAGGUAAAACCUCAUUGUGUAGAUCUUCAUCCUAAGGUGGCCUGCAGAUUUGCAUCAAAGACUACAUGAGAAGGUUGAGUUUCUCAUAUNNNNNNNNNNNNNNNNNNNNNNNNNNNNNNNNNNNNNNNNNNNNNNNNNNNNNNNNNNNNNNNNNNNNNNNNNNNNNNNNNNNNNNNNNNNNNNNNNNNNAAUUCUGUCUAAUUCUAAAAUUUAAUUGCCAGUGAUGAUAGAUGAAGCUGCUAUAGUCAAAAGCAUGUAAAUUUAGGUCAGCUAUCUUUUUUGUAUGUUAUGUUAAAAUACAAACAGUGGAAUAUAAACAUGUAGUUAUUUACAAGUUGUAAUUUUCGAAUCUUGUAUAAUAAUAGCAAUUGUCCGAAAGUUGAUUAUCUGAGAGAGAGCAAUGGUUUUGACGCAUCUGGUUUGUGCAGUUAAAACUUGACGAUGGCUACUUUUACUAGUAGUUGGACUUGUUCUUACCCAAUGUGCAUUUCCUUUAAGGAAUACUAUGUUCAAGUGUUUUCCUUCUUCUUUUUUUGGGUCAUCUGAUAGAAUGUUUUAUGGGAUUUCCAUUUUUGAACGAAGGUAGUAUACAAAUUUAAGUAACAGAGAAAAUCCAGGCCUGGAUUUGUUUAAUUCCCACCUAGGCGUCGUUAAGCUUGUCCUCUACUGCCUAAAUGUUCUUUAAACAAAAUGAGUUGUAUUUUUUAUUUUUUUUGUCUAAUUAAAUUAUUGAUUUCUUUUCAAUUUGUUAUAUAUUUUCAAUAUUUCACCAAAUGGUUAGGAAAGAUUGAUGCUGUUUUCAAUAAUAAGACGAUAAGUCGAUCGUUUCAUUAAAUUUCAACCAAAUAUUGUCAAAAAAAUGGAGCUCAAGAUGAAAUAUUACUCGCUAUAUAUAUAUAUAUAUAUAUAUAUAUAUAUAUAUAUAUAUUAUUUGAUUUGAGGUCACCAUCUCACUGCUGCAUACACAUGAUAUGCUUCAUGGAAUCAUGGUACUGCUUAACCACCAACAUAAUAUUAUUCACCUCUUUUUCCAUAUUUCACAAACAUAAUCCAAAACAUCAAAUCUAAGUAGAACAAAAAUUCAAACAAAUUAAAUAUUUUAAAAAAAAUAAAGAGUAUAACAAACCAAUUGGGGGAAAAAAUAAAAAAUAAAAUGUAAUCUGAAUCAAUCUCAGAAAGGAAGAACAUAGCCAAGAAAAGCAAGUUCCAUACCCUAAAAUAAUUAAUUCAGAUGAGAGGGCUCAGAUCAGAUCAAAUAACUGACCCACUUGACUCUCUUAAUGUGCGCCCUUGUCUGAACCGAAAAGCAAUUUUGCUUAAUUGCAAACCAUUCCGAUUAUUCGAGGGCAAUUUAUUCUUAUCUAAAUUCAAAUUCAAACACAUACACAUACACAUACAUAUAUGUCUAAGGCUGCUUGGGGGAAAAUUGAUGGGUCAAACAAACAAUCCCUUCAAGAAGCCACAGCAAUAAGAUCCAGCAGUAAAAAUAUACGUUCUGGAUCCAAUUAUCAGUAUCAGCCUCAUAACUAAGCCAAUAUAUGAAACUCCAAAUAAUUCAUAUGGCUACUCUAGAGGCUUCUUGUUUUUUUUUUCAAAUGAAAACCCUAUAACAAACAAAGAAGAUAUUGACGGAAGAGGAUUUACCUGCUUACCAUGCACUGUGUGAGAAACUCUGCCUCUACUCUGCAAUGCCGGGUUUAAAAGGUAGAUGAUUAGGGUUUCUUCAUCUGCAAUUUUAUAAGAAUUUGUCGUAUUUACUAAUAUACCCUCCAUUUCUUCCCUUCUUUUUUUGAUUCUGGGCCUUGGGCCCUUGUG